GAUGAACGCUGGCGGCGUGCCUAAUACAUGCAAGUCGAGCGAACGGACGAGAAGCUUGCUUCUCUGAUGUUAGCGGCGGACGGGUGAGUAACACGUGGAUAACCUACCUAUAAGACUGGGAUAACUUCGGGAAACCGGAGCUAAUACCGGAUAAUAUUUUGAACCGCAUGGUUCAAAAGUGAAAGACGGUCUUGCUGUCACUUAUAGAUGGAUCCGCGCUGCAUUAGCUAGUUGGUAAGGUAACGGCUUACCAAGGCAACGAUGCAUAGCCGACCUGAGAGGGUGAUCGGCCACCCUGGAACUGAGACACGGUCCAGACUCCUACGGGAGGCAGCAGUAGGGAAUCUUCCGCAAUGGGCGAAAGCCUGACGGAGCAACGCCGCGUGAGUGAUGAAGGUCUUCGGAUCGUAAAACUCUGUUAUUAGGGAAGAACAUAUGUGUAAGUAACUGUGCACAUCUUGACGGUACCUAAUCAGAAAGCAACGGCUAACUACGUG
rnacentral:rRNA from 1 species